UUGCCAUCAACGUGUCUGGCAGCGACUCAGGGUCAGGCCUUCUCUGUAGCUGCCCUCAACUACAAGGGUUAACAUCUGUUGGUGGACUUUUAAACACAUCUUCUUGAUUGUUCACUAGCACUGGCCUGGAGUGCUGAGUUGCAAUGCCAGAACCAGGGUCGCAAGCUGUGCAAUUGGACUGGAUGUCAGAUCGAUUCAUGGCAACUACACAUUACAUAGAAACCCAAAACAAACUCUGGUGCUCGUCCUUCAUUCAGGAAAAUCCAAUAGAGGGGCGAUAUGGACCAGAGGAGCUGCAGCAGGGAGCAGCUCACAGGGCUGUACCAGCACGCCCGGCUCUUUCUAAAACUGCUGGCGGAGCCAAAGGCAUCCUGAGGCCAGGAGCAUUUAGGGCAGCAUGACGGAGAGGAUGCCCCAGCUGGAAGAGUUCCAUCGAGAAGCAUAAAUGCUUCGCAGAUUGCCAUGGAUCUGAUUUCUCUCCAGAAGGAUGCGAGGAAAUAAAGCUGAGCUUGCACUGAA